UACGGGGGGGGCAAGCGUUGUUCGGAAUUACUGGGCGUAAAGGGCUCGUAGGUGGCCAACUAAGUCAGACGUGAAAUCCCUCGGCUUAACCGGGGAACUGCGUCUGAUACUGGAUGGCUGGAGUAUGGGAGAGGGAUGCGGAAUUCCAGGUGUAGCGGUGAAAUGCGUAGAUAUCUGGAGGAACACCGGUGGCGAGGGCGGCAUCCUGGACCAUUACUGACGCUGAGGAGCGAAAGCCAGGGGAGCAAACGGG
rnacentral:rRNA from 1 species